rnacentral:snRNA from 1 species
GUAAUCACAAAGUGGUUUUUCCAGGCAAGGUUUGACCACUGCACUCCAGAUGUGCUGACCCUGUGAUUUCCUCAAAUGUGGGAAACUCAACUGUGUAGUUGGUCGUAGUGGGGAACUGCAUUCAUGCUCUCCCUU